UCGGGGAAUUUGUUGCUUGUUGAUCAAUAGUUCUGGACGAUUUUUUUUCUUUUUUUUGUGUUUUAUCCUAAUUCAUCUCAGUAUUACAGUUCACAGAAAUUCAAAAUUGCAAUCAUUAACCUAAUCUUCGAAUUUUUUGAGGUUAUUUUAAAAUUUCGCACCAGUACCCCAAAAAAAUAAAAAAAUAAAAAAACCACUCAAGCCCUAAUUCCAACCAAACCUCUACUAUGUCUGCAAUUCACGCUCAUUUCUCUCACCACGCCGACCUACGAUCGUCGUCACCACCGCUUUUGCAAGACCGCAAGUAUGUUAGACACUACAUUUAGCUUUAAGAAGCUAAGGGAGGAAUAUUUGCAUGGCCUGCCAAGUUUGUUAGAAGAACUUAGUCGUACUUGUUUUCAGAGUGCUGUUGGUAUGGAUCUCUCCCUUAAGCACCAUCAUGUACUCACAUUUAUGUUAUAGCUGAGAGCUUAGAGGAAACUUGCAGUUGUAUGAUUGUCUCGAUGUAUCGACAGAAAGUUUUCAACCUCAACUUACUUUCUAGCAUUUGUCAAAUAUAAUGUGAUUCUCUUCUGGUCUGUAUAAAAAAUGUUUAGUGUUUCAUCGUUGAACGUUCUCAUUAUUUAUUAUGAAUUUUCAGCAAGUAAAGUAAAGAAUUAUGAAUCCUGUAGCAAUGUUUUUCAUUUUAGUGUAUUGGUUUGUGCUGUUUUUUAAAGCUCUCAUUGUGAAGUCCUCUAGAUUUCAACUUCAUCAAUUUACAGCCUGUAUCUUUCUGAGAACCAAAAUUUGAAUUGGAAAUUGGGUUUACCUGAGCUGCUGGAUAAACUUCAGGGGCGGCAACCGUGGCCGGAAAAGAUGAAGAUGCACCUACAUCAAGCAUGGGUUUUGUAUCAAUGGGGGAUAAAUAGAGGGUGAGUCAACCGUGUACUGCAGUUUUGCUUCAGCUUCGGCAAAGAGAUUUUUGUGACAGUAGGAGAGGUCUUCAACUAGCUCUUGGCUAACUCGGAGCAUAGGUACUUGACUACAAGAGAUGCAAGCUUUGGAUCACAACAUUGUUGCUUGGGACCGUUGUACUUGACUACAAGAGAUGCAAGCUUUGGAUCACAACAUUGUUGCUUGGGACCGUUGUGUUCGUCAGUUCCAGACUUAGAGAUUGUUCGUGCUGAGCAGAGACGGUCUUCAUCACUCUUCUAUCUUUGCCAAGACCGCAAGUAUGUUAUACACUACAUUUAGCUUUAAGAAGCUAAGGGAGGAAUAGUUGCAUGGCCUGCCAAGUUUGUUAGAAGAACUUAGUCGUACUUGUUUUCAGAGCUGAGAGCUUAGAGGAAACUUGCAGUUGUAUGAUUGUCUCGAUGUAUCGACAGAAAGGUUUCAGCCUCAACUUACUUUCUAGCAUUUGUCAAAUAUAAUGUGAUUCUCUUCUGGGACGGCGACCGUGGCCGGAAAAGAUGAAGAUGCACCUACAUCAAGCAUGGGUUUUGUAUCAAUGGGGGAUAAAUAGAGGGUGAGUCCACCGUGUACUGCAGUUUUGCUUCGGCUUCGGCAAAGAGAUUUUUGUGACAGUAGGAGAGGUCUUCAACUAGCUCUUGGCUAACUCGGAGCGUAGGGUCCAUGAUGUGGGAGAAUGUGCUGUUGGCACGGGGUUGGGACCGGCAAGAAUGUUGUUCGGGUUGG